rnacentral:rRNA from 1 species
GGCGAACGCUGGCGGCGGGCUUAACACAUGCAAGUCGAACGCCCCGCAAGGGGAGUGGCAGACGGGUGAGUAACACGUGGGAACGUACCCUUUGGUUCGGAAUAACUUGGGGAAACUCAAGCUAAUACCGGAUAAGCCCUUAUGGGGAAAGGUUUACUGCCGAAGGAUCGGCCCGCGUCUGAUUAGCUAGUUGGUGAGGUAAUGGCUCACCAAGGCGACGAUCAGUAGCUGGUCUGAGAGGAUGAUCAGCCACACUGAGACUGAGACACGGCCCAGACGCCUACGGGAGGCAGCAGUGGGGAAUAUUGGACACUGGGGGCAACCCUGAUCCAGCCAUGCCGCGUGAGUGAUGCAGGCCUUAGGGUUGUAAAGCUCUUUUACCCGGGACGAUAAUGACUGUACCGGGAGAAUAAGCCCCGGCUAACUUCGUGCCAGCCGCCGCGGUAAUAC